AUUGAACGCUGGCGGCAUGCCUUACACAUGCAAGUCGAACGGCAGCAUGAUCUAGCUUGCUAGAUUGAUGGCGAGUGGAGAACGGGUGAGUAAUACAUCGGAACGUGCCCUGUAGUGGGGGAUAACUAGUCGAAAGAUUAGCUAAUACCGCAUACGACCUGAGGGUGAAAGUGGGGGACCGCAAGGCCUCAUGCUAUAGGAGCGGCCGAUGUCUGAUUAGCUAGUUGGUGAGGUAAAGGCUCACCAAGGCGACGAUCAGUAGCUGGUCUGAGAGGACGAUCAGCCACACUGGGACUGAGACACGGCCCAGACUCCUACGGGAGGCAGCAGUGGGGAAUUUUGGACAAUGGGCGAAAGCCUGAUCCAGCAAUGCCGCGUGUGUGAAGAAGGCCUUCGGGUUGUAAAGCACUUUUGUCCGGAAAGAAAUGGCUCUGGUUAAUACCUGGGGUCGAUGACGGUACCGGAAGAAUAAGGACCGGCUAACUACGUG
rnacentral:rRNA from 1 species